AAAGAACAAACACCACAUCAUCCAUGACAGUCGCAGAACAAAAGAAAUUUUCAGUGUCACAACCAAAUUGACUGUAAAUAUGAAAAACUAAAAUAAAUUUAACAAUAUGUUGGCUGAAAACCACACGAAAACGAAACAAUAAAUUAACAAACAUGAAGAGUGCUGACUUUGGAAUAUUAUUUUUACUCUACCUGCUGUUCCAGGUGGUUGGUGCGUUUGCUUGCAAGAAAAAGUCUUCCUGUAGGCCGCCGCGGUGUCCCGGAGGCUGCAAGCCCAAGUACUGGUGAUCAUCACGAACACGACCACGAAAAAACAACACUGAGUCAUCUGCACGUCUUUAGAUGGUGCUACUCGGGACGGCGUGGUGGUGGCUAGCCUGGUUGCUGCUGCAGCUGGUGCAGGAGGGGCGUGCCUGCAAGAGGCGCACGAUCUGCCGCCCGCCGCCAGGAGGCCGCCCGGGCUGCGCGGGCCGCGGCUGACCAGCCACCUGCCCCCCGCCGACAUGAAUAAAUUAACAUUUUACUGAC